rnacentral:rRNA from 1 species
GGGUGAGUAACGCGUGGGUAACCUGCCUCACACUGGGGGACAACAGUUAGAAAUGACUGCUAAUACCGCAUAAGCGCACAGGACCGCAUGGUCCGGUGUGAAAAACUCCGGUGGUGUGAGAUGGACCCGCGUUUGAUUAGCUAGUUGGUGGGGUAACGGCCUACCAAGGCGACGAUCAAUAGCCGACCUGAGAGGGUGACCGGCCACAUUGGGACUGAGACACGGCCCAA